GGAAUGGGUAAAUCUUAGUAAUCCGUCCUAUUUAAAUGAAAUUAAUAAUUAUGAAGCUGAUCUAUAUAAUAAUGUAGGAUACUGAUAACUCGAAUGGUUUUGUAAAUAUAAACGGCGAAGAUUAUAGAAUAGUAUUUAAAAAUCAAUCCACAGACAUUCUAACUGAGGUUGAAGACAACAUUAAUAGUAACUGUAAUGGGAUGGAAUUUAUGUCACAAUUAAUAUCCCAUGAAUAUCAGAGAAGUCCUGAGAAAUCAGAUACAAUAAGUGUAAUUCCAGGGACUCCAGAACACAUUGUAUUGGGCGAUGAGGAAGGUUUGACUAAUAAAGUGAUUGAUGAUAUUCCAAAUACAAGAAAAAUUAAAAUUAGUGUAAAAGGUGACACGGAAGAAUAUCGUCAAUACAAAAAAAAAUAAAAGAAACUCUGGUCAAACAUAUACUACUAAUAAAGGUAAAAUAGUCAAAGCUCGAUCUUCUAAGCCAUUGCUUAACUGUCGAGCCAAAUACAACACUAAAAUAAGUGAUACUUUACGUGAACAGUUAUUGACAUUUUAUUGGCCAAUGAACAGUUAUAAUAGAAGAGUUACAUAUAUUUCUAGUUGUAUACAUUUUACUGAUACAAAAACUUCAAGAAAACGUCGAAGUA